rnacentral:rRNA from 1 species
GAGCUUGCUCUUAUGGAUGAGUUGCGAACGGGUCAGUAACACGUGGGGAACCUACCUUCUAGCGGGGGAUAACACAUCGAAAUGUGUGCUAAUACCGCAUAAUAGUAUUUGAUGCAUAUCAGAUACUUGAAAGGCGCAAUUGCGUCACUAGAAGAUGGCCCCGCGGUGCAUUAGCUAGUUGGUGAGGUAACGGCUCACCAAGGCAAUGAUGCAUAGCCGACCUGAGAGGGUGAUCGGCCACACUGGGACUGAGACACGGCCCAGACUCCUACGGGAGGCAGCAGUAGGGAAUCUUCGGCAAUGGACGCAAGUCUGACCGAGCAACGCCGCGUGAGUGAAGAAGGUUUUCGGAUCGUAAAACUCUGUUGUAAGAGAAGAACGUUGAUGAGAGUGGAAAGUUCAUCAAGUGACGGUAUCUUACCAGAAAGCCACGGCUAACUACGUGCCAGCAGCCGCGGUAAUACGUAGGUGGCAAGCGUUGUCCGGAUUUAUUGGGCGUAAAGCGAGCGCAGGCGGUUGAUUAAGUCUGAUGUGAAAGCCCCCGGCUCAACCGGGGAGGGUCAUUGGAAACUGGUCAACUUGAGUGCAGAAGAGGAGAGUGGAAUUCCAUGUGUAGCGGUGAAAUGCGUAGAUAUAUGGAGGAACACCAGUGGCGAAGGCGGCUCUCUGGUCUGUAACUGACGCUGAGGCUCGAAAGCGUGGGGAGCGAACAGGAUUAGAUACCCUGGUAGUCCACGCCGUAAACGAUGAGUGCUAAGUGUUGGAGGGUUUCCGCCCUUCAGUGCUGCAGCUAACGCAUUAAGCACUCCGCCUGGGGAGUACGACCGCAAGGUUGAAACU